AUUGAACGCUAGCGGGAUGCUUUACACAUGCAAGUCGAACGAGUGGCGGACGGGUGAGUAAUGUAUCGGAACGUGCCCAAUAGCGGGGGAUAACUACUCGAAACAGUAGCUAAUACCGCAUACUAUUGGAGCGGCCGAUAUCGGAUUAGCUAGUUGGUGGGGUAAAGGCUCACCAAGGCAACGAUCCGUAGCUGGUUUGAGAGGACGACCAGCCACACUGGGACUGAGACACGGCCCAGACGCCUACGGGAGGCAGCAGUAGGGAAUAUUGUGCAAUGGACGAAAGUCUGACCGAGCCACGCCGCGUGUGUGAGAAGGUCUUCGGAUUGUAAAACUCUGUUGUUAGAGAAGCGGUAUCUAAAGAGAAAGCAACGGCUAACUACGUGCCAGCAGCCGCGGUAAUUC
rnacentral:rRNA from 1 species